GGGCGGCUGGUCUAACGGUAUGACAUAACAAGCUCUUGUUGCACAGUCGUCGCAAGACAACUGUAUAGGACGUUGUUCAAGGUUCGAGGUCCAAAUCCUCGGUUGUCCA